UGGGGAAUUUUCCGCAAUGGGCGAAAGCCUGACGGAGCAAUACCGCGUGAGGGAUGACGGCCUAUGGGUUGUAAACCUCUUUUUUCAGGGAGGAACAAAAUGACGUGUACCUGAAGAAUAAGCAUCGGCUAACUCCGUGCCAGCAGCCGCGGUAAGACGGAGGAUGCAAGUGUUAUCCGGAAUCACUGGGCGUAAAGCGUCUGUAGGUGGUUUAAUAAGUCAACUGUUAAAUCUUGAGGCUCAACCUCGAAAUCGCAGUCGAAACUAUUAGACUAGAGUAUAGUAGGGGUAAAGGGAAUUUCCAGUGGAGCGGUGAAAUGCGUARAGAUUGGAAAGAACACCGAUGGCGAAGGCACUUUACUGGGCUAUUACUAACACUCAGAGACGAAAGCUAGGGUAGCAAAUGGGAUUAGAUACCCCAGUAGUCCUAGCUGUAAACAAUGGAUACUAGAUGUUGGACAGAUCGACCUGUGCAGUAUCAAAGCUAACGCGUUAAGUAUCCCGCCUGGGAAGUAUGCUCGCAAGAGUGAAACUC
rnacentral:rRNA from 1 species